AAGGUCCAGUGUGUUACACCUAUCAUCUUCUAUUGCGUCGUCCUCCCAGGUAAUCAUCACGAUCUCCUUCCCCCCAUUCGUCAUUUUCGCAAAAAAUAAUAUUCAAAUGACCACAACAAGGGCAAUUUUGGAAAAAACUAUAUUUUUAUGUCAGAAUUACUAAAUUUUAUAAAUUGAACCAAACAUAUUAAUGCUAUAAACACUGUAAUCUAGUAUUACAUUACUGCAUUAAACCAAACAUGCUAAUACAACAUCAGUAG
rnacentral:lncRNA from 1 species